UCAACCAGAACGCAUGCACGCGCCGCUGCAUGUGUAGAAAGCCCGACAGUUGCCGGUGUUUUGCGGAAUUUGCGGAGAGCCCUUUGCAAGGUUCAUCACACCACUCUCUACAAUCUCCUUGUCUGCCUUCUUUUCUGUCGGCUCGUGCCAUUUGUACGGGAGCGUUGCUGCUGCGAACACCACAUUAACAGGGGCUGACUGACUCCCCGUCUUUGCGGGCUGGUAAUUGAAUAUUGAUUCUUUUCUGUGAAUAUGCCGUUAUCGUUUCUUGCCAGCGCGUAACCUCGCAUGAGCCAUUUUGGUGUAAAGAUACAUCCGCAGUCUUUGGCGAUGAGUCGAAACCGUUUGUUUUCGCUCGGCGGGGCCAAGUCACUGCUGGAGAGGUGCCGGUGCCCAAAGAUCGCGCGUGCCGCAGCGAAUCUCGGUCUUCGGCAAUUGCUUGAUACGUUUUCUUCACAUUCCUCGCUUCGUGUGUCGGCUAGACCACGCCCAAAGUCUGUGGCUGACAGUCUUCACAAUGUAGUGGAGCUGCUCAGUACGGGGCCUUUCGUGAAUGCGAAAGAUGCACCGGCGUUUCGGUUCCGCGGCGACAAAUACUCUCACUGCUACGGUGCGCCCAGUCGUGCUGAGAAAAACACUGCAGCUGGCAAAGCGGUGUUCUUCGCCGUUCUCGGCGUCUUCGUGGUUUGCUUGUUUGGAAGCCCGGUGUGGUUCAUACUUUUCUAUAAUGAGCACAAAGCGAAGUAUGAGAAACUGGCCCGAGGCGACGAAGAUUUGUGAUGCACACGCCUCGUCCUUCUCUACCUGCUACAACGCUGGCUUCCUUUUACCUUCGCAGAGGGUUUGGCGCCCUGGCUCUCACAGACUCGAUGUUUUAUCAACCCUUCUCAAUGCGGUUUGUGUUUUGCUACACUGGUGUUAAAUCCCGUACUCAAGCCGCUUUUGUUUUUGUGCUCUCAAACAGCAGGUUGGUACACGGAUGACAACGACAGUUAGUGUGGAACUUUUCCUCGCGAAUCCUCAAAACUCGCAGACUGAUCGCGGAUAUGGAUGCAGCCACAGUGUCACACUAGUAAUUAGGAGAAGCUCCUGCAGGUUCGGGCGUUCCACGACGGCGAACGGGAAACGCGCGAUCGAGGGCGGAACAACACUGUGGCGGCUGUGGAGGAGAGUGUCGCGUCCGGGUGGUUUGGUUGCUCCUGGUGUGCUUUCUAAUUCUCCGGGUGCCUUUUCGAUUCCUUACUGAAGGAUGAUGGCCGCGACGCAUGUGCAUAACCGUUCCACCGUGCCCCACAAAGCACGGCAGUAUAUAAGAACUGGUUGGGGAACUGAUCACAUCAGUUGACGACUGUGUUAUGCAAGAUUAUCGAGUUGUCGGGGAGAAGACAAUUUUGAGGGAACCUGUCGAGCGCGCAUCGCAGAAAGUGCGUCUCGGGCGAUGUCCAAAAACGCGGAAACUUUUUGACUGUUACCCAAUCGCAUAGAUCCCUUCAAACAGAGCAGGUCGUGAAGCGCUUGAAGCAGCGAGUCCAGCUCUUCCACAUCCUCCUCCGUAAGAGGAGUGUCCUUCUUCUCGACCGCGGCUUCAUUUUGAGAAUCCUUCUCGGGCUUCCGUCGUGUGAGUUUCCGUAUCGUGUCUGAAUCUCUCUUGGAACUAUGAGAGUCCUUUUCAAGGAUUUCUUGGGCCCUGCGUCAACGCACCAAAUUGGGUGUGCACCGAGCG
rnacentral:lncRNA from 1 species